rnacentral:lncRNA from 1 species
AGUUCGCCAGGCAGGAAGUGCAGUAGCAGGACUCUGGCUUUCCGGAGAGUCUCUGUUUUUCCUUUUUUUUUUUCCCUUUUCGCCCAAUAAAUACCAUUUUUCUCACCCUUCAAAGUGUCUGCAAGCCUAAUAUUUCAUGGAUGUUUGACAAGGACCCCGUCUUUAGCUGAACUAAGGAGAAAGUCCUGCAACACACACAUGGAGCUCAGCAAACGGAGGAUGUAACGCACAUGAAAUUUGGUGCUGUGACUCGGAUUGGGGGACCUCCCUUGGGAGAUCAAUCCCCUGUCCUCCUGUUCUUUGCUCCAUGGGAAAGAUCCACCUACGACCUCAGGUCCUCAGACCGACCAGCCCAAGGAACAUCUCACCAAUUUUAAAUCGGAUGAAGAAACUGAGGUCCAGAGAAGUUAAACGACCUUCCUAAGAUUACACAGCUUAGUAAGUGGCAGAACCACAGCUGGAAGCCAGGUCCUUCCUCACGCAAGUCCUGGCUCAUUCAUUCCUCUUCCAAAGACUUGCUGAGCACCUUCUAGGUGCCAGAUGCGGUGCUGGCUCCUGGGGACAUGGGAGUGAACAGGCCAGGCGUGGCCCUGAACCAUCAAAUAGACAACCACAGAAAUAACAACAACAAAGACAAAACCGGGCCCUUCCACACAGUAGCUGGAACACAAAGGAAGAUCAGCCAAGCCUCAACAUAAUCUCAUAAAAAUUCUUCAAAUAUCCCAUUGUUAUGGAUUCAUACAUCAGGAAAGCAGACCACUAUGGGCAACUUCCUGUCUAUUCUACCUGGUGUCACUGUGGACAACUUCCUAUCUAUUCCACCCGAUUCACCGCUUGGCUACAUCCUCCACCAUUGGGAUGAAUUUGACCCUAACAAUCUAAAGAAAAGGCAUAUGAUUUUUUACUGCAAUAUUGUUUGACACAAUUAUGAGCUGCCCAAUCCGGAACAAUGGGCAGUCAAUGGUAGCCUUAAUUAUGAUACCAUCCUGUAUCUAGACCUAUUUUACAAGAGGCAGGGCAAAUGGUCAGAAGUCCCACAUAUACAGGCCUACAUGACCCUAUACGAAGACCUAAGAAUCUAGGAAACUCCCAGAACCCAUCCCCCGAAGGAAAGUUCUGGGGCAGAACUAGAUAUUAUAGAUGAACCCCCUUUUACAAGGGAUACCUGUCUCUCAGAGUGAGCAGUGACUGUCCCCAUAUAACCCCUCACCAAGUGCUCCUGAGGCUGAAACCCAGGGGCAAACAUGGGGAACCCUACUAAGUCCCCCUCACACUUGGAGGGGAACACUGUAUUCAACUCUCUAUCCAGCCCUGCUACUCUCAGAGAAAUAGCAGGGGCUGAGGGGCCAAUCCUAGUGUGGGUCCCCUUCUCUAUGAUUGAUAUACAACAAUGUAAGGAAAAGCUAGGAAGCUAUUCUGAGGAUUCCGGGAAGUUUGCAGAUGGGUUCCAAACUUUGACCUUAGCCUUUGAUCUCUCAUGGAGAGACGUUCAAUUCACUCUAGCAACCUGUUGCACCUCCUCGGAAAAGGAACGAAUCUUUGAGGCUGCCCUCCGAGAAGUGGACGAAUUAUUCACCCAAAACCGUAAAGGCAGUCACCCAGGCCCAGCCACAGUUCCCACUACGCAUCCUAAUUGAGACCAAGACACCCCCGCAGGAAGGAACAACUGGGCUAAAUUUCUUGAGGCUCUUGGAGGAAUGAGAAAGGGAAUAACUAAGGCAGUAAAUUAUGAUAAAGUAAGGCAGAUUACACAAGGCAGGGAGGAAAACCCAGCUGUGUUUUACGGCAGGCUGCGGGAAGCCUUUAAAAAAUAUAUACUAAUUUGGUCCCUUCCUCUCCUGAAGGCAAGUUAUUAAUGGCACAACGUUUCAUUAGCCAAUCCACACCAGACAUUAGACGUAAGCUCCAAAAGCUACACAUGGGGCCACAAACUAACCAAAAUCAGCUUCUUGGUACUGCCUUCAUGGUGUAUAACAAUCGUGACCUGGAGGAAGGAGAAGGGAAACAGAGUAAAGAAAAACGGCAAGCCAAAAUUAUGUUAGCCAUCACUGGUGAUGCCCUAAAUGCACAAAGAUUGUCCAAGGGAAACUCAAAGGGCCAUAAGGAUAAUGCCAGCAAAGGCUCUUGCUUCAAAUGCAAUAAAAGUGCGAUUGGGCACAGGAAUCCACUAAGCCCCCGCCAGUCCCCUGCCGUCAAUGUAAAAGCACCAGUUGUGGCUCCUGGCCCUGGAGAAUUGACUGUCCCUGCUCCCACCAAGGGGCUCAGUCAGUCAAAACUCUGGCAGUGCACAAGGAGGAAUCAGAUGAAGACUGAAGGGGCCUGGGGCCUUCCUCACUGCCCCGUCUAGGAACAUUGUAAUUACUACUGAGGAACCCUGGGUAACUCUGGACAUCAUGGCCACCCAAAUUCAGUUUUUAUGUGAUACCAAGGUGAAUUAUUCUGUACAACUGCUUAUGCAGGAAAACUUUCCUCCCGGUCCAUGAGUGAUAUUGGAUGGAAGGGAAGCCACAAACAAGAUUCUUACUCCUCCUUUGGUUUGUCAAUUUGAGAAACAAAUCUUCCAACAGGAAUUUUUAGUAGUACCAAGCUGCCCAAUUCCCCUGUGGGAAAGAGAUAUUAUGGUGAAAAUAGUGACACUACUGCAAUUUAAGCAAUAUUAGCAGGUGAAACUGCUAAUAGUAAGAAAUAAGGCAAUGUCCCAGACCAUGUCAAUAAACAGGUUAACCCACUGGCAUGGUAUACUGGAAACCCAGGGAAGGCUAAAACAGCAGUGCCAGUCAAAAUACAGCUUAAAGACCCCAGCCAUUUUCCCAAUGGAAAACAAUACCCAGUUGAACAGGAAGCAAGCAAAGGUCUAGCUCCCAUAGUUGAGAUAUUACUUACCCAUGGACUCUUAAAACCCUGCAAUUCUCCCUGCAAUACCCCCAUCUUACCUGUUCUCAAGCCUGGGGGGAAUACCAGCUAGUACAGAACCUCAGAAUAAUGAAUGAGGCUGUUAUCCCCGUCCACCCAUUGGUGGCAGAUCCAUAUGCCCUCCUGGCUCAGGUGCCAGGGCAUGCAAAAUGGUUCUCAGUCCUAGACCUUUCUUCUCCAUUCCUCUGGCCCCGAGCCCCCCAGUACCUUUUUGCUUUCGAAUGGGAAAAUCCUAAUACCAGAUAAAAACAAUACACUUGGACAGUGCUUCCUCAGGGCUUUCGGGAUAGCCCCCACUUCUUUGCCUGAGCAUUAGAGCGGGAUCUGAGGGAUUUCAAGUUAGAAAAUGGAGGUAUUCUUCAGUAUGGGGAUGACCUUGUGUGUAGCCCAACCUAGGAGGUUUCUGACCAAAAUACUAUAAAAACUUUGAAUUUCCUGGCAGACAGAGGAUACAAAGUGUCCAAAAAGAAGGCUCAGAUUACCCUCCAAUGGGUCCACUAUUUAGGAUAUGUCUUAACACCCGGAACCCGGCAAAUAUCCCCAGAAGGAGUGCAAGCUAUAUGUGGUUUGGCCGCGUGCACCACCCCCAGCCCCCACCCUGACCCACCUCCAAGCAGCAGCUUUGUUCCUUUUUGGGGAUGGCCGGGCUUUGGAGAAUAUGAGUACCAAAUUUUGGGCUCAUAGCAAAGCCCCUAUAUGAAGCAACAAGGGGGCCUGAAAAUGAGCUAAUGGAAUGGACCCCGGAAAUGAGGAAAGCCUUUGCCAAGUUAAAACAGGUUCUCACCCAGGCUCCUGCUCUUGGUAUCCCAGACCUAAUUAAGGCCUUCUCCUUGUAUGUAGCAGAGAAGAGGGGCAUAGCUGUGGGAGUGCUAGCCCAGAAAUUAGGAUCAGAACCCAGACCAACCGCCUACUUCUCAAAAAAGUUGGACGGAGUGGCCUCAGGAUGGCCAAGUUGCCUGCGGGCAAUAGCAGCCACUGCUGUUAGUGGAGGAAGCCACUAAAAUCACCCUAGGGCAACCACUGGAAGUUCUAACGCUCCAUCAGGUAAAGUUAGUCUUAGAAAUAAAGGGACACAUCUGGAUGACAGGGGAAAUGUUAACUAAAUACCAGCCCAUGCUCCUAGACAAUCCAGAUAUAACUCUUAAAACCUGCAACACUUUAAAUCCAGCUUCAUUGCUGCCCACAGGCCCAAUAAUUGAUCAUUCCUGUGAGCAGGUCAUUGCACAUACAUAUGUUAGCCAGCCUGAUUUAAAAGAUGAGGCUCUCCCAGAUUCUGAAGCUGACCGGCUCACAGACGGCAGUAGUUCUUUGUCGAAUGGGGAGCACAGAGCUGGAUAUGCAGCAGUAAAUCAUGACACAAUUAUUGAAGCCCAGCCAGUGCCCCCUGGCACAUCAGCACAAAAGGCUAAAAUCAUUGAUCUUACUCAAGCAUUAAUGUUGGGACAAGGGAAAAAACUUAACAUCUAUACAGAUUCUAAAUAUGCAUUCCUUGUGGUUCAUGCUCAUACCGCCAUCAGGAAAGAAAGGGGAUUACUUACUAGCAAGCACUCCCCUAUAGAGCAUGGACCUGAAAUUCUGCAGCUAUUGAAGGCAAUACACCUGCCAAAGGCCAUAGCUAUCAUUCAUUGUAGGGGGCAUCAAAGGGACUUAACCCCUAUAGCACAAGGGAAUGGAAAGGCUGACGGAAGCCAAAGCAAAAGCCCUCAGCGUGCAAUCCCAACAGAUCCUAGCACUGCUUCCUUUCUACAAUUCCCCAGUAGAACCCAAAUACACACCACAGGAAGAACAGCUAAUAAAAAAAGCAAGGGAGACAAAAACAAGGAUCCUGGUGGCAUAUGGAGCCAAAAAUAUAUCUCCCUCAGGCAGCCCAGUGGAGAGUUAUAAAAGCCCUGCAUGACUCUUUCCAUGUGGGGAGGGAUGCGGCUCUGGCCAUGGUAAACAAGUUCUUUACUGGGUUUAACUCAGCUUCAAUGGCUAAGCAGGUCUGUCAAGCCUGCUCACUGUGUGCAUUUAACAAUCCAGGCAUCAAAAUGCCCCCUCUAAUAAAACCAGUCCAAAGGAGGGGAACUUAUCCAGGGGAAGACUGGCAGUUAGACGUCAUCCAUAUGCCAGCUUGCAGAGGAUACAAGCUUUUGUUAAUACUAAUAGAUACUUUUAGGUUGGGUCAAAGGUUACCCCAGAAAAGGCUAAUGAGGUUCUAAGGUCCUCUUAAAAGAAAUAAUUCCCCAGUUUGGGUUACCUCAGGGUCUCCAAAGUGAUAAUGGCUAAUCCUUUAUCUCCCAAAUAACUCAAGGGGUUGCUAAGGCUCUUGGAAUAAAAUACUAUUUACAUUCAGCCUGGAGGCCCCAAUCCUCUGGAAAAGUGGAAAGGGUUAACCAAACUCUAAAAUAAGCACUAGCUAAACUAUGUCAGGAAACAUCAGAAACUUGGGUUAGCUUAUUGCUCACAGCCCUUUUAAGAAUUUGUAAUACCCCUAGCUCAAAAAUUAACAGAAGCCCAUAUAAAAUGUUAUACAGAAGGCCAUUCUUAACUAAUGAUUUAAUUAUUGACCCAGAAAGAGUUGGUGUAAUUAAAUACCUAGUCAACCCAGAACAAUUCCAGCGGGUUUACAAGAGUUUGGAAUUCAAAGGCUCCUCACACUUGGAACUAACCAGCAACCCAAAAUCAGGCCAGGAGAUAGGGUACUUGUUAAAACAUGGAAUGAGGGAUCACCUGCCCAACAAUUACAACCCCAAUAGAAGGGACUUUUUUCAGUAAUACUGGCCACGUCUUCUGUGGUCAAAGUACUAGUAUUAGAUAGCUGGAUACAUCUUUCAAGGAUCAAACCAUCAAUACCAGAAGCUCCAGACCAGGAACCUGAAGUUCCCAUCAGCCAGUACACCUGUGAACCAGUGGAGGACCUGAAGUACCUGUUUAAAAGAUAGCCAAAAGAUAAGUAAAUGCCUACCAACUUUCUUUGGUGUCUUUGUUGCAUAGUUACUGUGGGCUGGAAAAUAGUAGCCAUUUUUAUCUUUGCAGUUUAAUUGCCUUCUUCCAAAUAGAUAAAAAUCACUUCCUUUGUAAUAAUUAAACAGAAUUUAAAAAAUACAUUUCUAUGACAAAUAUUCCUGAUGGCAUAAGUAUCCACCCCAAGGUUCCCAUUAAAUCUUUUAACCUAAAGUAUUUCCUCUCACCUAGAGAUCAUCGAGCUGUGUGACAAGGGUGCCAGCCACUCCAGGUGAAGACACCACCCCAGGCCAUCAAGGAUCUUCCCUACCUUCACUAAACAGAGCAGGGUGAAAGUUGUGUGAUCCCCAAUAGGUAGGGACUACACCCCAAGUCAGCAGGAAGCAGUUACAGAAGAAAGACCAUUGGUCCCUCUGCUUCCCAUAAAGAUUUAUGGGGAUCACAGCUUUCACGGGGGAGAUGAGGCAAGAGAAUAGGGCAUGCAGGCAGGGUACUUGAGGCCAAUCCACGCUGACUUCCUAGAACUGAAUUAAAUGAAAGCUCCUCAGCAAUGACAGGAAUGUGAAUGGCUUUGUAACUUCUUCCUCUCCAUUAAUGCUAUUUCCACUUUGUAACUUCACUUUCAUCCUCUCCAUUUACAUAGAUCACACACCAAGUAACAUCCUCUCCAUUUACAGUAGGGCGCAUUCCGAGUCAAUGACUCUGACUGCACUUCGUUCUCCUCAUUUACAUAGAACAUUCGCCAAGUAACCAAUGGGAAACCUCUAGAGUAUUGAAACUCCAGAAAAUUCCGUAAGUGGGGCUCUUGAGCGUCUACACUCGGGUCGCUCCCACACUGUGGCGUGUACUUUUAUUCUCAAUAAAUUCCCGCUUUUGCUUUCCUCGUUC